rnacentral:rRNA from 1 species
AACGUAGGACGCGAGCGUUAUCCGGAGUUACUGGGCGUAAAGCACGGGCAGGCGGUCUGACAAGUCUGAUGUGAAAUCUCCGGGCUUAACCGGGAGAGGCCAUUGGAAACUGACAGGCUGGAGGGCAGUAGAGGUAGGCGGAAUUCCGGGUGGAGUGGUGAAAUGCGUAGAGAUCCGGAGGAACACCAGAGGCGAAGGCGGCCUACUGGGCUGCACCUGACGCUGAGCCGCGAAAGCCAGGGGAGCGAACGGG